ensembl:lncRNA
GGCGACCCAAGGGUGUCUGUUAGCCCCGCCUCCGCCCCUCCCCCAUGUCCCACCUCCAGACUGCUGCCAAGCUGCUCAAGUGGUUCUAGCUGUUGGUGGGGUCCUGCAGAUGUGAUAGGCUCCUCCUCUCCAGCCCCUCCUCCCCACCCACCUCUCAGGCCCUCCUGGGAUAGCUGUCCUCCUCUGGGGCCCUGUACUUGCUCCCAGCCAUGGUGGCUAGGCUCACUGCUCUCCUCCUUUACCUCGUUUUCUCCUUGGCCAUCCUGGUCCAGACAGGAUAUGGAGACUUCGAUGGUUUUAAUCUGGAGGAUGCGCUGAAAGAAACUUCCUCAGUAAAGCGUGACUCAAACAAACAAGUCCACCAAGCAAACACAAGUGGUCGGCCAUGCACCACACUGACAAUCUUGCCUUCAGAAAAGUACACGCAUAUGAGACUAGCUGUGCCUCCAUCUACCUGUUUGUUCUGUUGUGCAAGAGAGCCACUUUAGCACCACGACUAGAAGGACAGGAACAACCAGAGCCUCAUCAAAUCCAGCAGGUAAUGAGGUGUGGGAAGUGAGGAAGGCCAGACUCACCUGAGAAGGGACACAAGGAGGGACUCAUUAGGACUCCAUCUGGGACAGGGUCAAAAGGAGCCAUGUAGAAUUUUUAGCUGCACAUAUGAAAAGUUAGCAAAGGC